rnacentral:rRNA from 1 species
UAGCUUGCUAGUAGGCGUCGAGUGGCGGACGGGUGAGUAACGCGUAGGAAUCUGCCUGAUAGGGGGGGAUAGCCCGAAAAAAUUCGGAUUAAUACCGCAUAAUCUAUUCGUAGUAAAGUGAGGGACUUUCGAGCCUCACGCUAUCAGAUGAGCCUGCGUAAGAUUAGCUUGUUGGUAGGGUAAAAGCCUACCAAGGCAACUAUCUUUAGCUGGUCUGAGAGGAUGAUCAGCCACAUCGGGACUGAGACACGGCCCGAACUCCUACGGGAGGCAGCAGUGGGGAAUAUUGGACAAUGGGGGCAACCCUGAUCCAGCAAUACCGCGUGUGUGAAGAAGGCCUGAGGGUUGUAAAGCACUUUCAAUUGUGAAAAAAAGUUAACGGUUAAUAACCGUUUACCUUGACGUUAACUUUAGAAGAAGCACCGGCUAACUCCGUGCCAGCAGCCGCGGUAAUACGGAGGGUGCAAGCGUUAAUCGGAAUUACUGGGCGUAAAGCGUGCGUAGGCGGUUUAUUAAGUCAGAUGUGAAAGCCCCGG